rnacentral:rRNA from 1 species
AUGUGGAGCACCAGCGCUGGAUCUAGGCGAGGGAGGCAUGGAUGUGGAGCGGCACGCGAGCGACGGAUUUGGAGCAGCGCCGGAGCAGUGGAGCGGAGGAUCUGGAGCAGAGUAUUCGUCCUCACGGUGCCCAUGUCAUCGUCUUCGUCGGACGUCCCCACCUCGCCGACGCGUUCGAUCUGCGCACACUGUGUUCUCUCGUUGGUGGCACAAGAUGGUCGACGGGUGCAUGUCAUAGAGAGAGACCUGACAGAGCCUGAUAGAAUUGUGGGUGAAUUGUUACAACUUGGAGGUUACCUGAAAUUGAUGGAAUUGGGUCUGCAGGGUAAACUUUGCUCUCUCCUACUCAAAAUGGGUUUCCUAACAGAACCAUAG